CCUACGGGAGGCAGCAGUGAGGAAUAUUGGUCAAUGGGCGUAAGCCUGAACCAGCCAAGUCGCGUGAGGGAUGAAGGCUCUAUGGAUCGUAAACUUCUUUUAUAAGGGAAUAAAGUGUGGGACGUGUCCUGUUUUGUAUGUACUUUAUGAAUAAGGAUCGGCUAACUCCGUGCCAGCAGCCGCGGUAAUACGGAGGAUCCGAGCGUUAUCCGGAUUUAUUGGGUUUAAAGGGUGCGUAGGUGGCCUUUUAAGUCAGUGGUGAAAGUUUGUGGCUCAACCGUAAAAUUGCCGUUGAUACUGGGAGUCUUGAGUAUAGUUGAGGCAGGCGGAAUGCGUGGUGUAGCGGUGAAAUGCUUAGAUAUCACGAAGAACCCCGAUUGCGAAGGCAGCUUACCAAGCCGUGACUGACACUGAUGCACGAAAGUGUGGGGAUCAAACAGGAUUAGAUACCCGAGUAGUC
rnacentral:rRNA from 1 species